CUGGCUUUCGUGAGGGCUAAUUUGCGGUGGCUACUUGGGGGGGGCAUGGACCGGGGCGAUCCCCCCGGGAAAUUCGGGCCGGUUGAGUGGUCCACGUUAUUUUCGAGUCUAAAGGGGCUGUAGCCGGUGAGACCAUUCUCUUGGGAAAUCCGCCUGCUCAUACUGUUGGGCUUCCCCGAUACCCUGGAUGGCUCGUGGCCGGGAGAGGUGAGAGGUACUUCAGGGGUCGGGGUGAACUCUUGUUAUCCUUGUGGGACCACCAGUGGAAAAGGCGUCCCACCAGAACGGACCUGUUGGCAAGGGAUAAAAGCUGGGGGCACGAACCGGAUUAUAUUCCCGGGUAGUCCUAGCCGAAAACGAUCCCCCCUAGGUGUCAGCCACGGUGCGACCGUCGUCGGUGCCCCAGGGAAGCCGUGAAGCGAGCCACCUGGGAAGUACGGUCGCAAGGUUGAAACUUAAAGGAUUUGGCGGGGGACCACAG
rnacentral:rRNA from 1 species